rnacentral:lncRNA from 1 species
GUGAUUAAAUCUCAAGAUAUUUAAAUGAGAAAUCGCAGGAAGAAUAUUUCUCCUGUUUCUACAGCAAAUUUUUGGAAAAAGAGUUUUUCAACAGGCAGGGGACAGAUUGAUUCGACCAAUCAUAACAUGAUUAGAUAAUUUUGAUUAAAAUCAAAUGAACGUGAAAAGGGCAGGGGUGCAGCAUUGCAUCAUACCUCCUUAUCAUUGUCAUAAAAACGGUUGGUUCGAUAGUAUUGAAGCUAGUAUUAAACCUUGACCAAGUUGCUAAAAAACAAUUUUUUUCUUAGAAUAUACGUGAUAAGACAUUUUUUGACCCCCCAAAAAGUUUGAAAUUCUCGAUGAGAAAUUAUUUGUAGAACCUCAAGUUUUUAACAAUCUUUCGUGAGAAUUGACUUAAAAAUCACGAGGAGCACAUCAAGAACAUUUGAACUGCACUUCCAAUUUUAAAAUCUUGCAUAGGUAUUUUUGAAAUUUCUGCUUCAAAAAGCUUACUACAGCAAAGACAUUACCUACAUAGAAGUGAGCCAACCCUGUUUCCCGGUUCUCCACGCAAAAGUCGGAAUGGCCGCCGCCACGUGUCGCAGUUACCCAAUUAAAAACAACAUAUUAGAAGUCAUUUACCCGCCAAGUCCCUCUCCUGCUUCCCAAGUUAAGUUUAAUAAAUAGAAGUACUUCUGUUGUUUUUUGUAUUCGAGGAAUCGUGAACAGACCCAGACUAUUUACUUGUUUCUAUGUCAAUAAACUCAGAGUUCUAGGAUGUAAGUGCUCCCUCAGGUGUUACCUAAUCACUCUCUUUCCCAAGGAAUUUAUUGACAACUUCUACGGUAAAAGGGUGUCAGAGGCUUCCAAUGUUUCCAGUAUUGUGCUACGUAUUUUUUCAAAUGCAAACUUCAAGACAAACUGUUUACCCGAUUUUGAACAAGGCGUAAAAGUAUCACAACAUUAUACAGGUGAAUUAAUUUAACAUCUUAUUUUUUCACUUUUCUUACGAGUUUUUUUUUUACAAAUUUAGAAGUUUUGUCAGUUUGGCUCCUAUAACUUCGAUGGGCAUGUUGUACAUUCAAAUUGGAGGCGUUUCCUCUUCA